rnacentral:rRNA from 1 species
UGGCGCACGGGUGAGUAACACGUGGGCAACCUACCCAGAAGACCGGGACAACACUUCGAAAGGGGUGCUAAUACCGGAUACGCUCGCUGAGUCGCAUGAUUUGGCGGGGAAAGAAUUUUCGCUUUUGGAUGGGCCCGCGUCCCAUUAGCUAGUUGGUGAGGUAAUGGCUCACCAAGGCAACGAUGGGUAGCUGGUCUGAGAGGACGAUCAGCCACACUGGAACUGAGACACGGUCCAGACUCCUACGGGAGGCAGCAGUGGGGAAUCUUGCGCAAUGGGCGGAAGCCUGACGCAGCAACGCCGCGUGAAUGAAGAAGGCCUUCGGGUUGUAAAGUUCUGUCAGGGGGGGCGAAGAGUUGACGGUACCCCCAGAGGAAGCCCCGGCUAACUACGUGCCAGCAGCCGCGGUAACACGUAGGGGGCGAGCGUUGUCCGGAAUUACUGGGCGUA